GCAUGAAGUCGGAAUUGCUAGUAAUCGCGGAUCAGUAUGCCGCGGUGAAUACGUUCCCGGGCCUUGUACACACCGCCCGUCACACCAUGGGAGCCGGUAAUACCCGAAGUCAGUAGUCCAACCCCGUGAGGACGCUGCCGAAGGUGGGAUUGGCGACUGGGGUGAAGUCGUAACAAGGUAAC
rnacentral:rRNA from 1 species